CCUACGGGAGGCUGCAGUGAGGAAUAUUGCACAAUGGCCGGAACGCUGAUGCAGCGACGCCGCGUGAGUGAAGAAGGUGUUCGGUAUUUAAAGCUCUAUCAGCAGGGAAGCAGAAAGACGGUACCUGACUAGGAAGCGGCGGCUAACUACGUGCCAGCAGCCGCGGUAAUACGUAGGGGGCAAGCGUUAUCCGGAUUUACUGGGUGUAAAGGGAGCGUAGACGGCUGUGCAGGUCUGAAGUGAAAGCCCAGGGCUCCACCCUGGGACUGCCUUGGAAACUGUGGAGCUUGAGUGCUGGAGAGGUAAGUGGAAUUCCCAGUGUAGCGGUGAAAUGCGUAGAUAUUAGGAGGAACACCAGUGGCGAAGGCGGCUUACUGGCCAGUAACUGACGUUGAGGCUCGAAAGCGUGGGGAGCAAACAGGAUUAGAUACCCGUGUAGUC
rnacentral:rRNA from 1 species